ACCUGAGAGGUGCAACAGAGAGCUUGAGAGCAUCUGCAGGUUGAAGCAUCACAUCCUACGCGCACACAUAUAUACCAACUUCCCACCAUCGUUGUCGUCCCAGACAAUAUGAAGUGAUUCACUGGAGUCAUAGUCACUAGGCAGAGCAGCCAUUCAAAUCCAGAACUCAAAGUGAUUGGUGUGAUCUUGUUGUAUGAAGUGUUGGG